AACACGUGGGUAACCUGCCUGUAAGACUGGGAUAACUCCGGGAAACCUAGAGCUAAUACCGGAUAGUUCCUUGAACCGCAUGGUUCAAGGAUGAAAGACGGUUUCGGCUGUCACUUACAGAUGGACCCGCGGCGCAUUAGCUAGUUGGUGGGGUAAUGGCUCACCAAGGCGACGAUGCGUAGCCGACCUGAGAGGGUGAUCGGCCACACUGGGACUGAGACACGGCCCAGACUCCUACGGGAGGCAGCAGUAGGGAAUCUUCCGCAAUGGACGAAAGUCUGACGGAGCAACGCCGCGUGAGUGAUGAAGGUUUUCGGAUCGUAAAGCUCUGUUGUUAGGGAAGAACAAGUGCGAGAGUAACUGCUCGCACCUUGACGGUACCUAACCAGAAAGCCACGGCUAACUACGUGCCAGCAGCCGCGGUAAUACGUAGGUGGCAAGCGUUGUCCGGAAUUAUUGGGCGUAAAGGGCUCGCAGGCGGUUUCUUAAGUCUGAUGUG
rnacentral:rRNA from 1 species